GCACUCUAAGUUGACUGCCGGUGACAAACCGGAGGAAGGUGGGGAUGACGUCAAAUCAUCAUGCCCCUUAUGAUUUGGGCUACACACGUGCUACAAUGGACAAUACAAAGGGCAGCGAAACUGCGAGGUCAAGCAAAUCCCAUAAAGUUGUUCUCAGUUCGGAUUGUAGUCUGCAACUCGACUAUAUGAAGCUGGAAUCGCUAGUAAUCGUAGAUCAGCAUGCUACGGUGAAUACGUUCCCGGGUCUUGUUC
rnacentral:rRNA from 1 species